UUCUCACUGGGUCUUCUGUUUGAAAGGAG
rnacentral:piRNA from 1 species